rnacentral:pre_miRNA from 1 species
GACAAGUGUAGUAGUACUACGUUUGACCAUUUAUCUUAUUUGAAAAUUUUUUAUUAUUAAACUUUUUAUAGUACAUGAAUAAUACUUUGUGUGUAACACUUUUUUUCAAUUUUUUUCAUAAGUUUUUAAAUAAGAUGGACGGUCAAACAUUGGAUGCAGGUACUCAUGGCUACACUUAUU